GUGGGGAGCAAACAGGAUUAGAUACCCUGGUAGUCCACGCUGUAAACGAUGUCGAUUUGGGGUUUGGGGGCAUGACCCUUGGGCUCCGGAGCUAACGCGUUAAAUCGACCGCCUGGGGAGUACGGCCGCAAGGUUAAAACUCAAAUGAAUUGACGGGGGCCCGCACAAGCGGUGGAGCAUGUGGUUUAAUUCGAUGCAACGCGAAGAACCUUACCUGGUCUUGACAUCCAUAGAAUCUUGUAGAGAUACGAGAGUGCCUUCGGGAGCUAUGAGACAGGUGCUGCAUGGCUGUCGUCAGCUCGUGUUGUGAAAUGUUGGGUUAAGUCCCGCAACGAGCGCAACCCUUAUCCUUUGUUGCCAGCGGGUAAAGCCGGGAACUCAAAGGAGACUGCCGUUGAUAAAGCGGAGGAAGGUGGGGACGACGUCAAGUCAUCAUGGCCCUUACGACCAGGGCUACACACGUGCUACAAUGGCGUAUACAAAGGGAAGCGAAGGUGCGAACUGGAGCGGACCUCCUAAAGUACGUCUAAGUCCGGAUUGGAGUCUGCAACUCGACUCCAUGAAGUCGGAAUCGCUAGUAAUCGUGAAUCAGAAUGUCACGGUGAAUACGUUCCCGGGCCUUGUACACACCGCCCGUCACACCAUGGGAGUGGGUUGCACCAGAAGUAGAUAGCUUAACCGCAAGGGGGGCGUUUACCACGGUGUGAUUCAUGACUGGGGUGAAGUCGUAACAAGGUAACCA
rnacentral:rRNA from 1 species